ACUUCCCCAGCCCAGCGACCCCGGCCCCGCCCCGGUUGCCCCGGCGACGAGGGGCCGCCGUGCGGCGGCUGGAUCAUGGCGGCGUCUGUGGGGACGACUCCCGGGGGGACGACCCCCGCGGGGAUGACUCCGGCGGGAACCACGCCCGAGUCGGAGAAAGAUACUGAAUUCCAGGAGCGUGAAAAGAUUCUGUGUCCAGAUUUUCUUUCAGUUGCCCAGAUCACCGAAAUGCUAGCAGAGGAUGUAGAUGGAGUUCAACAGAAACUGGAAAAGUUUUUGAAUUUCAGAAAUCUUCAAACCUGUUUAAAGGAAGCCAGUCUACUAGAUUAUUAUGUAUCUGGAUUUUUGUGGGCAAGAGGAAUGGACUUUUCUAUUAUUCAAUAUUCAAAAUUUAUGACUUUACUGGAUAUGUUACUUCAUAAUCUUAGAACACUGCAUAUGUCCUUAGAAGACAGCAUAAAAUGGCUCAGAGAAGUUAUGGCUGAAAUAGGACCAUCCCAUUCACAAAAAAAUGAGGAAUGGAAUAUCUUUGAUGUAAAACAAGCCAAUGCUGUUGUUGAUUACUUGAAAAUCAGCUUAUUUCAACACUACAAGCUAUAUGAGUUUCUGUUCUUCUCUGCCAGGGAAGAAAUUGUGAUAGGAACUGAGCAAGUGAUAGAGGUUGUGAAGCCUGCAGGUCACCCUUUCCCUGAUCCUCUAGAAGAAGGAAUCUCAUUUGAUAUUUACUCAACAUUCAUAGAGCCACCUCCAAUACUGGAUAUGGAAAUGAAGGGGUUGAAUCAAGAACAAGGCCCUGAAGAGUCCCAGCCAGAAGCUGACACUUCAGAGACUGAUCCAUUAGUUGGUUUCACCAUUGAAGAUAUAAAAUCGGUGCUGGGUCAAGUCACAGAUGACAUUUUAAUCAGCAUUCAGGUUAACCCAAAAACCACUGCCCAUCCCUAAUACCCACUGUCCAGUUAUUGGAUCAGCCUCUUUGCCAGAAUUCCCAGCCACCUCUGUCUCUCCACUGGAACUUGUGGAUCGAUACAUCCUCCCAUGAUCCCUUUGCAGUGAGGUGUGACUAUGGGACCAAGUUCCAGCCAGCGGAAUGUGAGUACAAGUGAAAUGUGCUGCUUGAAGGGUAUGGCUCAGGACCAGACGAUACCUCUUCCACGUUCUCUCCCCUCCCUCUCUGCUGGCCGGAUGGCAGCAAGGAGAGUGACGACUCAAAGGUGAUAGAGCAGCUGUCUGCCUGGGUUCCUGAAGGGCCACAUGACAGGUGACACUUACCAACUCAGAUCACAUGCCCAGACUGUCAUAUGAGGGGGCAAGAAACUUCCAUUUCUGAGAGUGACUUCACUCUUGGGUCUGUCUGUUGCUGCAGUUAAGCCUGCCCUAAUUAACUCAAUGAAUAUGUCUCUCUGUGUUUAUGCAUAUGUAGCAUGUGUCAUAUGGGUCAAUGUCUGUAAACUGGGAGAACAACCAGCAAAUUCAUUACCUAGGGACCUGCUUAUAGUUUUAUUGCAUAAGGUAAUUACUUCUUAGCUUAUAUAAGCCCACAGCCCCUCCUAAACUGACAUUCUAUGAAAUAAUUGACUGAGCCUCGUAAGUAUGAUGAACUACACACUCAGGAAACUCCCACGAGAGGCCACACCUUCAAUACUUCCUACUUUAAGUGAGGCUAGUAAUUUUUUAAAUGUCCAUGGAUGGCUUGGGAUUUCUCUAAUAUAAUAAGUAUAAACAAGACUCUAGAUUAUUAAUUUGCUAAUAGUUUUUCCCUUAGGCCAAGGUUAUUUCCUCAGCUGAAAUACUCCUUGAUUCACUAAAAAUUAUUUACUAGAUGCCUACUCUAGAACCUGGCUAAGGCCCCUACUAGAGCAAAUAUUGAUAUGUUGGCUACUUGAUGUUAACUAUAUCCAGUUCUAAAGACUAAUAUUUAUUUCAGAAGUAUUAUUUCUGAUUUGGGUAGUUCGCAGUCCGUAGGUUAAAAUAAACAGCACAGUCAGAUCAUCGACAGAGUUGGAAAUAGAAAGAGCUUAUUUUUUUCCCUCCCUUAAACAUGUUCAGUCACCAGUUGCUUACUUGCUAUUGGCGACCACCUGCGUCAGUUAGGAUGCUUUCGGCUACAAGUCAAUAAAAUCCUAAACUCAAAAUGGCUCAAAAAAUUAUAAAAAUACACUACAUAAUCUUACAAAAAAGAAGUUCAGAGGUAGGGAGCCUCAGUGACAUCAUCGAGGACCCAGAUCAUUUCUGUCUGUGGUGUCCUCUUCAGCACCUUGGCUUUUGUCCUGAGUUGUCCCCUCCUAAUCCCAAGAUGACAAUUACGUCCUCGCAAAUUUUUUCUUCUCUUACAUUUCAUUUUAACAAGAAGAAAAACUUUUCCCAAAGCCUGCCAGUAGAGUUUCUCCUGUGUCCGAUUGGCCAGAGUUGUGUCACAUGAUCAACCCUAAACCAGAUGCUGGUAAGGGAAGUAGAAUGGUCAGGAUUGACUUAGGUGAGUCAGGAUGCACCAGCUGGGGCGGGGGGCGUGGCCCUGAAACACUGGUCAGCCACAACUGAACAAAACUGGGAUUCCCUUCCAGAGGGAAAAAAACGUAGAUGGCUUUUGGGCAGGUCACUGCCAUUUCUACUCCACCAAAUGAUCUUUCCUCUGUAACUUCUUUUGGGGGGGAUUUUUAAAAAAUAUUUUUAAAAUUUUGUUUAUUUUAUUUUUAUUUAUUUUGGGCUGCGUUGGGUCUUUGUUGCUGUGCGUGAACUUUCCCUAGUUGCGGCGAGUCGGGGCUACUCUUCGCUGCGGUGCACGGGCUUCUCAUUGCGGGGGCUUCUCCCGUUGCAGAGCACGGGCUCUAGGCGCGCGGGCCCAGUAGUUGCGGCACGCGGGCUCUAGAGCGCAGGCUCCACGGCAUGUGGGAUCUUCCCAGACCGGGGCUCGAACCCAUGUCCCCAGCAUUGGCAGGCAGAUUCUCAACCACUGCACCACCAGGGAAGCCCCCAUAACGUUUUAUACCUUGGAAUGUCCUAGCAUUCUCAGCAUUCUUCAAUUCCAAAUUUAGGUGGAUAGAUAGGUAGGUAGAUAGACAAAAGGUAUUUUUUUCUUCUUUUUCAAAGAUUGUGCUACUGGUGCUGAUUAUUAUCUCUAUGUGUGGGUGUGGUUUUUUAAAUGUUUGCCACAGAAGGAGCUACUGCAUUCCAACAUGUCUAUGAAAAUUAGCUAGAAAUUUUUGAAACCAAAUCUAUUCAUCUCUUAAGGUGCUAGACUCAUAUUGAAUUAUUAGUACCAUUUCCUUUCUGCUGAAAUUUUGAUGACAAGGUCAUCAUUCAUUCAACCAAGUGUGACCAUUUUAGAUUCAGUUAAGUGUCUUUAUUCAAGGUGUCCUCAUAGGCUCCUUUAUUUGUUAGAACCAUUUCAAAAUGAAUAGACAGAUGAAUCACCAGAGCACUGCAAAGCAAAACUCAAGGGCCAGGGCUAAACUGAGGAGACAAAACAAACAAAAAGAUGAUGCAAUUACAGACUUGGGAAAUUGUUCAUGAUUUAGAGGGAAAAUCUAUCAUUAAAUAUGAUAUGUGUUUUGUGGGAAAAAAUGAUAUGCAAAGAUAAAGCAUUUGAAUAAAAUGGGAGUUAUCUGUUGAUGGUAAGGUUGCAGGUGAUUUUUAAAUUUUUUCUGUAUUUUCCAUAAAUUCUCUAUUAACUUUUUUAACUAACAUUAAGUACACAUCACUUCUGAGAGGUUGAUGCUGCACCCUAGCCUUUCAGUGUCAUUGCCCUUUUGCCAGCUUCUGGACCAACCCACUGGAAGCCGGGUUACCCAUUUUCCCUGCCCUCUCUGGUAGAGAGUCUUUACAGCAGCAACCAUUAGAAGGCAUCGGGUACCAUUUGGACCCAGGGAAGCACAGAACGCUUCCCAGAAACGGCUCCUAUUCUGAAAAAUCUCCCAAUCUGAGUUGGAUACACUAGUGCAUAGCUUUGGGUGAAUAGACACAUUGCCCUGAUGGUACUGAGAUGACUUCUAGAAGGUGGAUUCCACGGAAGAUUCUGUCACAAAAAACUGCAGGAUGUUGGGCGUGCUGCAUUACCCAUCUGAGCCUUGGGUUUAUUGCUUAUAAAAUGGAUGGAUUGACAAUAGGUUAAAAAAAAAAAAAAAGGCAACGUUGAGAAGCCUUUUCUUAAAAUUCCAGGGACAUCCCCGACUUUAAAAAACUACAAACUAGCCUUAGAAGAACACAGCAGGUUAAAGAAGAUCUCAAAUUGGCUUAGAUCGAAACACCAGAUGCAUUUCCAUUAAAGUCAAAAGUGAGAUAAGGGUUGGAAUUAAUGAAUUAGUCGUAUAAUUUAUCUGUUUAAUGUUUGUCUCCCUGCCCAUGCUGUACCUCGAGGAGGGCAGGAGCUGUUUCUAUCUUGUUCUGUGCUCUAUCUGCAAGAUCUAGCACAGUGCCUGGCACAGAGUAGGAACUUCAUGAAUGUUUUGUAGAAGGAAGAGAAGGCAAGUAGACAACACAGGCUGGCUGUUUUCACCACUGGUAUUUUGCUUUUCCUACCCCUGCAAUAAGACAACAUAAGGAAGUUAAAAGUAUAAUUAACACAAAGCUAAAAUAAUUAUUAUUUGUAGAUUAUAAGAUUGUAUACAUUGAAAACUCAUGAGAAAAUCUAUUCUAAAAAAAUAAGAAGUCAGAUAAAAAAUAAAGACUAAAAAUAGAUUUUUUACAAAUUAAUAAUGGUUAGAAAAUAUAAUGGGGAAAAAAUCUAUUACAGUAGUAACAAACAUACAAAAUAUUUAAGGUGAAAAUAGGAAAUGUAAAGGACCCAUGUGAAGAAAAAUAUAGAACUGUCCUAAUGGGCAUUUUGCUUGAUACAAAACUUAAAUACUGUAAAGAUGUCAUUUUAAGUGUAAUUCCAUUGAAAAAUCUUAGGAUUUGUAUUUACUAAUGCUAGUCUGAGGUCAACAUGAAUACUGCAACAGUAACAAGGGGAGAUGGCUUUCUGAUUUAAAAAUGUUACAAAGCUAAAAUACUUUAAAGUAUGAUAUUAGUGCAAAAAUAGCAGCCAAAUUAGUAAAACUGAAUAAAGAACCCCCAAAGAGCCAUAAUACUCAGUAUCUGUCUUAUGGUGAAAUUUACUUGGGCGGCUGAGUCUAUGAAUUUGGAGGCACUUAAAUCCUGAGAUUCCCCUCUCAGAUCUGCCUUUUGUAGACAAGCAUUAUUAGCUAUCUAAGCCUCAGUUCACUCAUCUGUAAAAUGGGAAUAAAAAUAACUAUACAAGAAUUUUAUUGUAAGGAUCAAAUGAAGUCUACAUUCAUUAAAAUUUAAAAUUCAUUAAAAAUAUUUAGCACAGUAUCUCAGUGUACAAUAAAGGGUACUUAUGAUAUACUUGAUAAACCAAUGGGAAAGUAAAGGAAUCUAUAAGAAAUGAUGCUGGGACAAUUAAUUAUUUAAGGAAAAAUGUUUAUAU